GCAAAUUGCGGCGUGCUAUACAUGCAGUCGAGCGGACAGAUGGGAGCUUGCUCCCUGAUGUUAGCGGCGGACGGGUGAGUAACACGUGGGUAACCUGCCUGUAAGACUGGGAUAACUCCGGGAAACCGGGGCUAAUACCGGAUGCUUGUUUGAACCGCAUGGUUCAAACAUAAAAGGUGGCUUCGGCUACCACUUACAGAUGGACCCGCGGCGCAUUAGCUAGUUGGUGAGGUAAUGGCUCACCAAGGCAACGAUGCGUAGCCGACCUGAGAGGGUGAUCGGCCACACUGGGACUGAGACACGGCCCAGACUCCUACGGGAGGCAGCAGUAGGGAAUCUUCCGCAAUGGACGAAAGUCUGACGGAGCAACGCCGCGUGAGUGAUGAAGGUUUUCGGAUCGUAAAGCUCUGUUGUUAGGGAAGAACAAGUACCGUUCGAAUAGGGCGGUACCUUGACGGUACCUAACCAGAAAGCCACGGCUAACUACGUGCCAGCAGCCGCGGUAAUACGUAGGUGGCAAGCGUUGUCCGGAAUUAUUGGGCGUAAAGGGCUCGCAGGCGGUUCCUUAAGUCUGAUGUGAAAGCCCCCGGCUCAACCGGGGAGGGUCAUUGGAAACUGGGGAACUUGAGUGCAGAAGAGGAGAGUGGAAUUCCACGUGUAGCGGUGAAAUGCGUAGAGAUGUGGAGGAACACCAGUGGCGAAGGCGACUCUCUGGUCUGUAACUGACGCUGAGGAGCGAAAGCGUGGGGAGCGAACAGGAUUAGAUACCCUGGUAGUCCACGCCGUAAACGAUGAGUGCU
rnacentral:rRNA from 1 species